CAAACAAUGUGACAUAAGGGACCAUAAGGUAGUACUAGAAUUACAAGUGGGUUAUCAAAUAGUGCACCUGG
ensembl:ncRNA T23D8.10 ncRNA